rnacentral:rRNA from 1 species
AUACGGAGGGUGCAAGCGUUGUUCGGGAUCACUGGGCGUAAAGGGCGCGCAGGCGGUUUGGUAAGUCAGAUGUGAAAGCCCACGGCUCAACCGUGGAAGUGCAUUUGAAACUGCCAGACUUGAGUACCAGAGGGGAAAGUGGAAUUCCCGGUGUAGAGGUGAAAUUCGUAGAUAUCGGGAGGAAUACCGGUGGCGAAGGCGACUUUCUGGCUGGAUACUGACGCUGAGGCGCGAAAGCGUGGGGAGCAAACAGGAUUAGAAACCCCAGUAGUCC